rnacentral:SRP_RNA from 1 species
CUGUGCUAGACGGGGAGGUAGCGGUGCCCUGUAGCCUGCAACCCGCUGUAGCAGGGUCGAAUCCCUCACCGAGGCAUGCUGUAUGUAGGGCAGCCUUAAGUAAGUGGUAAUGAAGAUCGGGUCCUACGCAAUGGAAGCUUGCGAACCCCGCCAGGUCUGGAAGGAAGCAACGGUAAGUAAUCCCUUUCGUGUGCCGUAGGGCAGCCUGAUUCGAGCUAACUGCUUAAGUAACGCCUAUGGCAGUCUGUCAAAGUGAGGUGCACAG